GUGGGGAAUAUUGGACAAUGGGCGAAAGCCUGAUCCAGCCAUGCCGCGUGUGUGAAGAAGGUCUUCGGAUUGUAAAGCACUUUAAGUUGGGAGGAAGGGCAGUAAGUUAAUACCUUGCUGUUUUGACGUUACCGACAGAAUAAGCACCGGCUAACUUCGUGCCAGCAGCCGCGGUAAUACGAAGGGUGCAAGCGUUAAUCGGAAUUACUGGGCGUAAAGCGCGCGUAGGUGGUUGUGUAAGUUGGAGGUGAAAUCCCCGGGCUCAACCUGGGAACUGCCUCCAAAACUGCAUGACUAGAGUACGGUAGAGGGUAGUGGAAUUUCCUGUGUAGCGGUGAAAUGCGUAGAUAUAGGAAGGAACACCAGUGGCGAAGGCGACUACCUGGACUGAUACUGACACUGAGGUGCGAAAGCGUGGGGAGCAAACAGGAUUAGAAACCCUAGUAGUCC
rnacentral:rRNA from 1 species